GACGAACGCUGGCGGCGUGCUUAACACAUGCAAGUCGAGCGGAAAGGCGCGGUUGUGGGUACUCUGGUGGCGAACGGGUGCGUAACACGUGAGUAACCUGCCCUUGACUUCGGGAUAGCGUCAGGAAACGGGGGCUGAUACCGGAUCGGGAUCCUUUCUUCAUGGUGAGGGUUGGAAAGCUUCGGCGGUUUUUGAUGUACUCGCUGCUUAUCAGCUUGUUGGUGGGGUAGUUGCUUACCAAAGCGUUGACGGGUAGCCGGCCUGAGAGGGCGACCGGCCACAUUGGCACCGAGAGAAGGCCCAGACACCUAAGCGACGCAGAAGUGGGGAAUAUUGCACAAUGGGCGGAAGGCUGAUGAAGCAACGCCGCGUGUCGGAUGACGGUCUUAGGGUUGUAAACCGAUUUCAGCAGGGGCGAAGCUUGUGGUGACGGUACCUGCAGAAGAAGCACCGGCUAACUACGUG
rnacentral:rRNA from 1 species